rnacentral:rRNA from 1 species
UACGUAGGGGGCAAGCGUUGUCCGGAUUUAUUGGGCGUAAAGAGCUCGUAGGUGGUUCGGUAAGUCGGAUGUGAAAUCUCCAGGCUCAACCUGGAGGGGUCAUUCGAUACUGCCGUGCUUGAGGACUGGAGAGGAGACUGGAAUUUACGGUGUAGCGGUGAAAUGCGUAGAUAUCGUAAGGAAGACCAGUGGCGAAGGCGG